AUUAUAUCACUUUAUUUUUAUAAAGUAUUCAUUACAAUACAUCCAGAAUAAAUAUUCUUUAUUGAAUAUUUUAAAUUAUACAAUUAAUCAUAGCUUUAUACAAUUUCUAAUUCAAGAAAAUAUAUUCAUUUCGCACAUCAUUCAUCCUUCAUCACACGUAUAGCAAAUAAUAUUAACGUCAUUAACCUGCAAAAAGUUUGUGUUUCCAAGACUGAGCUCGACAGCUAAACAAAUUUAACAGUCUAUCAUGUUUCACAUAGCACACAACUUUAUAUACACCACAUGCAACAUACUUUCUUUGAUAUGCAUAUCCUACAUGCAUCAAUAAUUCAGUGCAAGGCAUAUAUUCAUGCCUUAUACAUUCCCAAUUAUCGCGUUACAUCAUACAACAUGUGUUAUCACAUAUCACAUAUAAAUUGAGUUCCAUACCCAAUUAACUUAGUCAUAUUUUGACUUUAACAAUUCAUAGAGCAUGAUAUGUAAUUUAGCACAUAACCACAUCCAAUCCACAAACAUAACAGAACUGAAAAACUUGCCUUGAAUGGAGAUUACCGCUAAAAUUUAACUUAGAGUUUCUCCACAAUUCCUACAGAAUUAUAUUUACAUACACACAUAUUAAAUAAUUAAAUAUGUUACAAAACAUACCUGUAUAUUCAUCAUUAAUAAUUACUAGUUUAUAAAAACCAUUAUUAUUUACUCUUACUCCAAAACCAAUAUUGGUUUAAUGAGACUCAAUUCAUUUUAAUCUUUCAAUGCCAAAUAAGGCAUUUCACACUUUUAAUGUGUAAAUAUUUUACAUCUAAAGCUUAAAUCAUUUAUAUUCCACUUUAGGAAUAUUGUAUGCUCUUACUUGCUAAUUCGGGACUUAAACAACUAAUAUAUAGCUUUUAUAGUAAAACUCAAUUUACUAUAUUAUUAUUUCUUUAAUAUAAAUAUUUCUUAUAUUAUUUUGUCCACUCAAGAGUCAACUCGGACCAUUGUCUCAUUUAUAAUCAUUCUAUCCCGCUAACACACUUACUGCAUUUUUCAUUUUGUAAAUAUUCACAAUUUCACUAUAUAUAUAUUUAUAUAUUAAAUAUGUAUAAAUCUCGUCUCAAAAACUCUAUUUUGAUCCCCGCAAAUCUUCAUUACAUCACUUUUAUGCUUAUUACAACUUUUUAAUGGUUCCAUACUUUUCGUUUUGUUAUAAAACCAUUUUUAUGUCAAUUCCGGCUUACAUUCGCUUAAAUAUGCAAAUUCAUAUUUAUAUAUUAUUUUUAUUGCAUUAUUUAUGCCCGAAAGGAAGUUUCAUGACAUAAAUUAGAUCUAAUAUUGUCUAAAAUUUAGCCCAAACACACUUUGGAACGACGAAUGUCAAAACAGCCCACCAUGACUACAUUCGGCGUAGCCCAAAUUGUAGUUCUGACAUGCCUGUUUGCCUAUUUUUAAUUCUCAACGCAUAAGUCAUAUAACAACGAAUUUUUGGUAUGUUAUAGACAUCAUGGCAUAGUAUUUUUAAAAAAAAUCUAACCACGCAAACAAAUCAAGGAAAAUACUCAAAACAGACCCUACAAAUCAUGCCGCGUAAUAGCACUGAAGCGCCAGCAGCAGCAGGCAUCGGCGAACGCUGCUAAGUGUUGCUGCCCAGCUGCUUGACAUACUCUGCUGCAGCACUUAACGACCUAGCCGCUUUCCAAUUUUCUUACACUUUGCUCGCUUAUCGGAUCGUUCUCAAAUUUUAAUAUAUUUUUCGUAUCAUAUGAGACUAUUUUUGAAAAAUAUUAAACACCCAUUUCGGGUUUGAUAGGAAGCCAAAACAUUGCAGCAAAAGUGGACAUUCAUAACAAUUUUUAAUUUCGUUUCAGCUUUACCCUAUCUCGCUAAAACAGUCAUAACUUCUUCGUUUCAAAAUAUUUUUGAGCGAUUCUUGAGCCCACGCGAAUCUAACUUUCGGGAGUACAACUUUUAUUCUUUAACCAUUUUCAAAUUAUUUGAACAAAAUUCCAUAAAAUCCGUGCAAUGGGACUGCUCCAAAUUUGUUGGACAGAUUUGACGCAACUACUUUGCAAUGUCAUAACUCCUUACUCCAAAGUCGGAAUUAGUCCGUUCCAGAGUCUAUGGAAAGCUUAUUCAAUGUGCUAUAAUAUCUCAAAAGCCCAGAAUUUUCUGGAAAUAUAUACUAGAGCCGAAAUUUGCCUCAAUGUCAGCAGUCAUACUAGUUUUUCACUUUUCGUUUUGAUUUCAAAUUGCUUUUUGAUUUAACUUAGUAUGCUCAAUCUCUUUAAUUAUCUUCAUAUAUGAUAUACAUAUCUAACCCAAGCUUUGAUUUCGCUUAAAACUUGGUUUUUAAGCAAAACAGUUCAUAGUGGACUUGUAACGAACAUUUCAUAUGCGUUGUUUUGAAACACCAUUUCAAUAGUCAUUUGUUUGUGUUAUUAACCCAUUCAAGCCUCCUUAUAUCACCACACAACCAAGCCUAUCCCCUUGUUCCUAAUUCAGGCCUAACAAUCUCCUACACAAUCGAAUCGAUAUAUAGUCAACUAGUUACCAAACUAGUUAGUUUACACAUUCUUUUGAAAUUCAAUCUUUUUAAUUUCAACACAAAAUGAAAUAUUUUAAUCUCCUCUGCAUUAAAUGAACAUAACUAUAAUCAAUUAAUAGUAUUCAAAUACCAUACAUAACUUAACCAAUUCUUACUGCUAACAGAUUUAUUUAACACCAUGGAUGCAUAGUUUCAAAUUCCAGACUUCAUAAGCUUUUAGGCAUAGUCUAGCCAAAGAUUUUCCAUGAAAAUCCUCCCUUAUUACUUCAGAACUUAUACAAUAUUAUUACCCAACCAAUUCCACAACCAAACAUCACAAUUAUAGCGAUAAAUUGCAUUCUAUACUUUCAAUUUCUAUGAACUCCAUAAAACACAUGGCUUACCUCUCAAUUUGAAGUUUAAUUGAUGUAAUCCUUUGAAUUCUUGCUCCAAAUUCGUUCUUAAUUCCUUCUUGUAACAAUCCAUUGCUUCAAUUUCUUAAGAAUUUGGUGAUAAUUUGAGUACCAACCUUUAGAUUUCCCCUAGAUUUCAUUCCUUUACCCCUAGAUUUCAUUAUUUUACUCCAACCUUUAGAGAGAGGAAACGAAUGGAGAUGGGGAGAUAUGCUGAGUAUUGAAGUUUUUUUUUAAACUUCAUUAGCUUCUCUUCAUUAUCAGGUAAGUAAGUAGUGUCCCACGAUAACUUAGCAUAUGCCACCUCCUACUUAUUAGACCGUAAUGACUCAGCACAUAAGCAGUAACAUUUUAAUUGAAAUACUUUUUUUUGUACAACGAAUCACUUAAUUGAAAUAAUUAAUAUUUUAUUUAUUAAUUAUUCUAAAUCACUCAUUUAACUUAUACAGCUAAUUGUAUAAAGUUAAAUCUAAUUAUCUCAUUUCUUCCAUAAUUUGUUUCAAGACAAUUAUUUACACGUAGCAAACAUAUUUAAAUAUAUUCACCACAACAAAUACCUAUACACAUAUUACACCGCACACAAUUAAUAAAUACAGUAUAAUAUAUCACAUAAUAAAAUAAGAUAUUUAUUUUAUUAAAUUCUUAUUUUAUUUAUCUAAAAAACUUGGGUCACUACAUUCUUCGCCCUUAUAAGGAUUAUGUCCCCGUAAUCACAAUACCGAACCUUUCCUACUCGGUUUAAGUCUAUUUUUCCUUGAUCAUGCUAAUUUCCUCUUAGUAACCUUAUUCUGUAAUAGUGAAAUAUAUUAUUUUACACAUAUCAUAACAUACAUCACAUAUUAAAAUACAUAUAAACAUGUAUCUCCAAAUACUUAAUAGUUUCCGCUAUUUUAUACAUAAUCUUUUAUUAUUGUGAAAGGUCCUAAAAUUUCUGGACUUAAUCUUUCACCUUUGUCCCUCUUCAGAGUCUACCUUCUUUUGUCACUAUCAGUGUUUAUCCAUCUUUGACAUCACCUAUAUCUUAAUUUCGACAUCUCCUAUGCCUGUUCUUAUUAUCAUAACACCACCUGUGUUUUGUUUUAUUAUGACACAUCAUCGGUGUUACCAUAUUAUGACACAUCACCAGUGUCUAUUCUGUUAUGACAUAUCACCAAUGUCUACUUUGUUAUGCAAAAAAUCUUUAUUCCUCAUAACUCUACAUUUUUCCUUCCUUAAAGAUUCAUGUACCACUAUCGUAUUCUACGACCUACUUCAUUUUAAAGAAGUUCAUUCUUUCGAUACCUAACCUCCAUAAUAGAAAUUCCCCAUAAUUGAUUAAUAUUUUUGAAGCAAUAUGAAAAUUUCAUGAAUUCAAAGGAUUCGCUUAAGAAUAGCUAGCUUUCUGUAUCAUGAUAAAGGUCAUAAAGACCAUAAAAUUUGUUUCUGAAAAGGUUUCAACAGAAAUUCAUCUGCAAACCAACAUAUCUUACGGACAUAUAGGUAAUCACCUGUUUAUGCCCUGUGUUAACCCAUGUUCGAGAGCAUUUUACCGACCUCCAGGUGGGUCGAAGGCCUGACACUAGAAGGGGUUUAUGAGCUCAAUGAGCUGAAGCCCUCGGAGAUGCUGAAGGUGUUUGGGUUCGGUAUCCGAGUCCUUUGGGUCAGGGCCCUACUGUGGAGUAUGGUGUUUGAGGUUGGGUCUUCGAGUCCUUUGGGCCGAAGCUCAAACCAAAUGGUGGGUUCGGUUGGGUUGGGCCUGUAUAGUGGGCUAUCCUGCGUACAGAGUCUGGAGUCCUAACCAUAUUUGAAUACGGUAACUCCAAAGGCUAUGUUUGGAUUGGAUUCCACUUCCACCUUUUAAGGAGAUCGUGUUGGACCCAAAUUAUGGUAACUGCCAUGUUUAGGAGUCCUAAUCCGACGCGAAAAGGGAUUCUAAGGUACGAGAACACUAUAAAUACAAGGCUUGAGUUUCAAUCAAGAGGUAAUACUUUCUUUGAGCACUAAAUACUAAAGCCUCCAUUGUUAAACCUUGUGAACGGCCUGUACUUAUUCUCACACUGGAGCUAUCCCCCAGCGGCACAAGCCGUCAAGCUUCGUGUGUGAUUUGUUAUUAUUCAGGUUUAAGCGCGUGGAUUCUGUGAUUGGACGCGCCGGCGAAACUUGGCGUUAACAUUGGUGCUAGAAGAAGGGCUUUUGGUGCUUUCUGCAAUCACAGUGAAUUUUUCUGGUUAAAGGGCAUGGCGAGCAGGGAUACAGUUGCUUCUAACCAGGAAAAGGAAAAAACACACCAGACCACCAAGGUGAGAGGGUCGGUCGAAGACAGACUGGGUUCCAGAAUUUAUGGGGAUCAGGAGGAACCGGCCCCUUCCCUCCGGCGUAAACUCUUCCAUGACAGCCAACACACGCCCAAUCAAGUCAGUCAGGCUGAUGAAAAUCACUCUCGGGCACAUGAGGGACAAGGGAGAGACCGAGGAAAAGGCAACAGAGACCAGAGGGAGUUCAUUCUUAAGAAGAAGAUGCAGCAAAAUAAAGACGCCAUGAUGGCCUUGUGUCUUCAGCAAGAAGAGCUUGAGGAACAAAUGGCGAAAAUGACUGGAGAGCAGGAAGCAUCCUCGAAAAGGCGUCGGCAUUGGAGCCGAUCCCGGUCACCCCGUACGGGAGAGGUGGACAGAGAAAAUAGUAGGCCCAGAAGCCGCUCCCAAGAUGGUAGAGGUCGAAGAAGAAGCCGUUCAGUAGAUCGGAGAUCGGAACAUCCGGGCAGAUCGGGACAAAGGAGGAGGGACGCAUCUCCUGAAUAUGAGAGGGACUGACCCAGAUCGUCCCCUCAUAAAGAGGAGUCCGACCCCCUUGCUCGAAGGGUGGAAGAGUUGGAGAAAUUGCUGGCGGCAAAGAGUUCGAUGGGAACGCCUUCGGCUUGUAUAGGAUCGCCCUUUUCACCUUAGAUAAAUCAUGUCACCGCCGACCCUAAGAAGAAGAUGCCCCCGAUGGAGACAUAUAAUGGGCUGGGAGACCCCUAUGAUCAUUCAGACGGGUAUGACAGGUUGAUGACCUACUAUCGACAUUCAAACGCUGCUAAGUGCCACAUAUUUGCAACAACCUUGAAGAAGAGUGCCCGGGAAUGGAUGGGGACCUUAGCAGCUGGAUCAAUUAAUUCUUGGAGUGACCUUCGGGAGAAGUUUCAUGCUCGGUUCGGGAGUAACAGAAGACGAGGAAAGAUUACUACUUCCCUCAUGCAGGUUCGGCAGAAGGCGAAUGAAAGCCUAGGCCAGUACGUCAAGAGAUUUCGGGAGGCUAUGGGUUCGGUAGCAGAGUUGAACUCUCCACAGGCCUUGGGAUUUUUCACAAUUGGUCUGGAUAUUGGGAAGUCGAAGAAACUGAUGAAGGAUCUGGUGAUUAACCCUCCGGCGAAUUUUACAGAAGCUUUCCAUAGAGCCAAGGGAUUCAUAGAGAUUGAGGAGGCUAUGGGAAACUUCAAACCGCACUCCCAAUCUUGUGAGAAGUCUAGAGAUCGGGACAAGCAGACUUAUCAGCGCUCAAACAAUCAGGGGAGGUCGGAUAGCUCUAGAAGAAAAAACUAUAGCGGUGGAGGUUCGGGCAGUGGCCGACCACCCUUCCCGAACAGAAAUAUCAACAAAGUCUACACCGCCCUCAACACAGAUCGGGUGAAGAUAUUGGAGGAGAUGCGGAACAAACCAUUUUUUGAGCUAUGCUCAACACACUCGAAGCCUGACAAGAGAGGGCAGGACAAAUACUGUGAAUACCAUCAAAGUCGUGGGCAUACGACGGAGAUGUGUAAUGAUCUGAAGGAUUUGAUAGAGAAGAAUGUUCAGAAUGUACAGUUAGUAUAGUAUGUUGUUGGUCAGGAAGGUUCAGAGGUGCCUCAAGAGGAAAAUAGAGGGCCGACUCGUGAAACACAGUCGAAACCGAACCCGCAACCCCGAGGUGUGAUUGAUGUAAUUUCGGGCUGUUCGGUAGGACGUGUAACUUGGAAGAAGAGAAGUGGACACCUCGAGGCCAUGUUAUCGGUAGCAGGUUCCUCGCCAAGGAAAGAUCGGGCCUACCCGGGGGUAUCCAUCUCGUUCUCAGAUGAGGAUUAUCCAACAGAUCUAAUAGAACCACACGAUGGGGCAUUGGUAAUAACAGCACUGGUCAGGCCAGUGGACAUGAAGAGGAUGAUGAUCGAUAAUGGGUCCUCAGUCGACAUAUUGUACACACACGCUUAUCAAAAGAUGGAUCUGGAAGGAAAAAAGAUGGAGUUGGGUGGAGAAAGCCCGUUGUAUGGUUUCAGUGGGGACCCGGUUUACGUGUCAAGCACCAUCGAAUUGCCCGUCAGGUUCAGCGGAGAUAAUGGUCAGAUUCUUUGUGGUACAGGUGGAUUCGGCGUACAACGCUAUAUUGGGAAGGCCGACACUAGCAGUACUGCAGGCUGUUAUGUCCAUCCCCCAUUUUAAAAUCAAGUUUCCAACACCAAACGGGAUAAGGGAGGUAAAAGGGGAUCUUGAUAUUGCCCGAAGGUGCUAUCGGAACACAUUAAUCUCAUCGGGGGUAGGGGUCAGCAAGUAAAAAUAGACAAUGGCCAUCUAAAUAGAUCCAUUCACUAAGAGCAGCACAGAACCAAUGGCCCUUCCAGCCGAAGAGACUGAAGAUAUAGAGUUGGUCCCAGGCAAUAUAGAGAAGUUGAUCUAGAUUGGGUCGGGACUAACAGAACCACUACGGAAAGGACUGGUAGAUCUGCUUUGGGUAUAUGCCGACAUCUUUUCCUGGGAGCCUAGCGAUAUGCCUGGGGUAAGCGAGUCAGUGGCCUUACACAAUCUUCAUGUAAACCCGAAGAGAAAACCAGUGAUACAGAAAAGAAGGAUUUUUGCCCCAGAAAGGCAGACGAUCAUAGAUGAGGAAAUCGCCAAACUGCUGGAGGUAUGAUUUAUUUUUGAGAUCGACUACCCCGAAUGGUUGGCUAAUGUGGUAUUGGUUCAGAAACUGUAUGGGAAGUGGAGGUUAUGCAUCGAUUACACAGAUUUGAACAAAGCAUGGCCAAAAGAUUUCUAUCAUUCGCCCAACAUAGACCAAUUGAUUGAUUCCACUUCGGGGUACGGUAUGUUAAGUUUCAUGGAUGUCUUCUCAGGAUACCACCAGAUUUUGAUGAGCAAGGAGGACAUCCCGAAGACCAGUUUCAUGACUCAUUGGGCCAUCUAUGCAUAUCGAAAGAUGACCUUCGGAUUGUUAAAUGUUGGGCAACAUACCAGCGAAUGAUGAACUUCUUAUUCAGAAAGCAGCUAGGCCGACGCAUGGAAGUGUAUGUGGACGAUAUGAUUGUGAAAAGUAUAUCAGUCCGGGAUCAUCUGGAGGACCUAGAAAGCUGGUUCGAAACAGUAAGAAGACACAAGCUAAGACUGAACCCGACUAAAUGUACCUUCGGAUUGGGGUCAAGAAAUUUUAUGGGAUAUCUAAUCAGUAAGAGAGGUAUUGAAGAGAAUUCGGAGAAGAUUCAGGUGAUCUUAGACAUGAAAUCUCCAAAGACAUACAAAGAUGUGCAGAGGUUGAUGGACCGGAUAGGUGCCCUUCGGAGAUUUGUGUCGAGAUCAACCGAAAGAUGUUUACCCUUCUUUGACACUCUCAAGGGUCCGAAGAAUGAGAAGAGUUUCUAGUGGACCUCAGAGUACGAAGACGCGUUCCAAGGGAUCAAGAAAUACUUAUCUUCGGCACCUUUAUUGAUGAAGUCGGUCCCCUUCAGAACCUUUGUAUCUAUACUUGGCUGCAAGCUCGAUGGUCGUGGGAGCAGCACUGGUCAGGGAUAAUGGGGGAAGAUAGUUCUCGGUGUACCACGUCAGCCACGUUCUUCGGGAUGCAGAGAUAAGAUACCCAAACUUGGAAAAAUUUGCCUAUGCUUUGACUAUUGCGAGUAGAAAGUGCUUCAUUAUUUCCAAGGUCGGUUGGUAGUGGUAUAUACAGAUCAGCCAUUAAAGAAAGUGUUGCAUAAGCUAGAAGUGUCGGGUUGGUUGGCCGUGUGAGUGAUGGAAUUAACACAAUUUGCUAUAGAAUACCAUCCCCAAACAACAAUUAAAGGACAUGCAUUGGCAGACUUCAUAGUACAAUGUUCUUUCACCGAACCAGACAUGAAUACAAUUAUCGAAGCUCAGUAGGUGCCAACUUCAUGGACUUUGUAUGUGGAUGGGUCAUCAACUUCGGACAUCAGUGGAGCAGGAGUUAUUCUGACAAGUCCCGAAGGGUUUAAAGUUCAGCAAGCCAUCCGGUUCCAGUUCAAAGCUACAAACAACGAAGCAGAAUAUGAAGUCAUUCUAGCUGGACUUCGGUUGGCCCGAAGCUUAGAAGUAUAGAAACUAGUCAUCUACAGCGAUUCCCAACUGGUGGUCAAACAGAUAUUGGGGGAGUAUGAGGCUCGGGGGGCAAGAAUGUCAAAAUAUCUAGCCGAAGUGAAAGAUAAACUCAUGUACUUCAACACACAUAGUUGUCAAGGGAUCGAUCGGGCAGACAAUUCGGUAGCAGAUGCUCUGGACAAACUGGAAACUACUGAAGCUAGUUCAUUUAACAGGUCAGUAUACUUAGAGUUGUUGGAGCAACCAAGCGUACUGAAGGCGGAGGUGAUGGCCCUGGACCGGCUCGAUUACUGGCUCACACCUUAUAUCUCGUAUAUGGCGGAUGGGGUUCUACCUUCGGAUCGAAUACUAGCUAGGAAGAUUAAGCACAGAAGCUCAAAUUUAUUCUUAUCGAUGGGGAUCUAUAUCGAAGGGCUUUUAGUUCUCCACUGCUCAAAUGCCUAACACCCUCAGAAGCAGAUUAUACACUUCGGGAGGUGCAUAAAGGAAUUUGUGGAGAUCACUUGGGGGCUAAGUCAUUGGCAUAUAAGAUUAUAAGGCAGGGAUACUAUUGGCCAACCAUCUACCAGGAAGCCAAAGAUUUCGUCAAAGAGUGUCCAAAAUGCCAGCUGAACAUCACCAUCCCUCAUCAGCCUCCCAAAGAAUUAUUUUCGGUCUUUUCCUCGAUUCCAUUUGUCAUAUAGGGAAUUGACAUCCUGGGGCCUCUGCUGAAGGCCAAGGGACAAGUCAGUUUUGUGAUCGCGGCCAUCGACUACAUGACGAAGUAGGUUGAAGCUAAACCUCUGCAGAAGAUCACCGAACAAGAAUGUUUGAAGUUUUUUAAGGAGGGCGUUGUUUAUCAUUUCGGUAUCCCGAUGGUAGUGGUUUCGGACAAUGGCAGGCAAUUUGUAGGGUCAAAAUUUGAAGCUUUUCUGAAAGAAUUGGGGAUUCAGCACCAAAAGACUUUAGUUGCCCACCCUUAGUCAAACGGCCAAGUAGAAGUUACUAACCGAACCCUGCUUAACAGAAUCAAAAGAUGACUUGACGAACAAAAGGGUCGGUGGCCAGAGGAAUUACUCAGUAUUUUGUGGGCUUAUCGGACUACUCCAAGAACAACAACUGGGGAUUCACCGUUUCGAUUGGCAUAUGGGACCGAUGCACUCAUACCUGUUGAGAUCGGAUCUCCUACCCUUCGGGUCAGCCAAUAUAAGGAGUUGUACAACGACCAGGGACUACGAUUUAAUCAAGAUCUUUUGGAAGAGGUUAGGGACUCAGCUCUGAUAAGGUUAGUAAUUUACCAAAAGAAAACAGCCCGACACUACAAUCAGAAGGUGAAGCAGAGGAGAUUUGAAGUUAGAGACUUAGUCCUUCGGGAGUCGGAGGCAUCAACCCCCUAGAACACCGGCAAGCUGAUGCCUAAGUGGAAGGGACCCUAUGAAGUGGUAGAAGUGCCGAAGCCAGUUACAUAUCGGCUUCGAGCAAUGGAUGGUUCUAAAGUGAAGAAUACAUGGCAUGCUGGAAGAGUUAGAAAAUUUUGCCAGUAAAAGUUAUGUCAUUCUUUUCUUUGUUUGUGUAAUCAUUUUUUUUAUCAAUGAAAUAAAUGAGAUUUUUCUUCGGAAAUGUUUAUACUUCAUUUAUAUUCAUAAAAUUUUAUAUACCCAAUCAGAUAAACUUCAAACUCAAGCCGGUCAGAAAGUUUGAAAUGAUGGAACUGAUCGGCAAAAGUAUCGGGUACAACUGAUCGGGAUAACCACCAAUCGAAUCAGAUAAGCUUCGGACUUAAACCGAUCAGAAAGUUAAAAAUGACAUAACUAAUCGAUAAAAGUCAUGGGUAUAACUAAUCGAGAAAAUUGAAAUUGUUCAUCAGACGAACUUUGAGCACAACACGAUCAGAAAGUUCAAAACAACAUAACUGAUCGAGAAAAGUCGCGAGUAUAACUGAUCGAAAAAAUUUACAAACAAAAAUUUUGUACUUCAUUUAUAUCUUCAAAUUUUUACAAGACCCGAUCGUAUAAGACGGGCAAAGUACAAAUAAAGAGAAAAAAAAUGAAGAUUACAAAAAUUACAAGUCCUAAUAGAAGCUAUUCCGGAGGAGGCUCAUCCCCAGUCUCGGAAUCUUCGUCCGAAGAGUCAAGGACAGAAGCAUUGAGUCCAACAACAGUCAAUUUUGCCCGAGCCUUUUCCCGAUAGGUUUCAUAGCCUUCAGCGAACUGAGCCAUAUUUUUCUUGGUCAAGGCAGGGGAUUCUUCAUAUUCUUCGAUUGUGCGUUGCUUGGCCUCGGCACUUCAUCCUUCAAGGCAUUGGUUUCCCGGAUCAAGUGCAUCAGCUUACUGUGCACCCUGUCAAACUUCUCCUCAAGGGCAUGAAGCGCCUACAACCAUUCAUUGCUCUCUCCAGACAGAUGAUCUCUCUCCUAAAGAAGUCUCUUGGCAUAACCUUUGAGACCGACGAACUCCUGCUAAAGUAACAAAUAUUGUUCCUUGAGCUUAUCGGCCUGACGAUCAGCCCUGGCCGCCUUAUUCCGGGUCUCAGCAUGGAGAUCUCUUUCUUUCUUCAAGUCUAAGUUCAGACCUUGAACCUCAGCCUUGAGAAGUAGCACGUCCGACCUCAGCUGAACUUCCUUUUUGGUCGUUCAGGCAAGAGGUGAAAUGGCUCGGGCGAGGACGGCGUUGGCCUACAGCAAAAAGGGCAUAUCAGCUUUGAAGAAUAAAGCAUGACAAUAACAGAAGAGGUUAACCAAUUUGAGAAUUACUUGACAAUGGGCAUGAACAUAGGCGACAAGAUACUCUUUGGAAGAGAAUCCCUUAAAACGUUCGUCAUCACCGGGAAGUUUGAAAUGAUCGAACAGCUGGAAGGGAAACACUUCCGAAGGGCUCUUCGACCAACAAGUAGUCGGCGUCCCCUGGGAAGAGCUGGCCUUAGAUGUGGGGGUCAAUGUAGGAGGAAGGUCAGUGUCCACAACUCGCAGUUCGGGACCCUCAGCCAAACGUGGUUUCUUGGUUUGAGGUUCGAGAGGAACCUCCUCGGUGUCCUCUGAAUCUUCGAUCGUCGCCACUUGUGUAGGGGAUGGAGGAGUUGGUUUCAGCGUGGCUGAAGAAGAGACCUUGUGGGGGGCUUUGAUGGAAGGUUUGACGGAAGGCCUCUUCGUCUUCUUCAACAAGGCCAUCUUCUCAGCCCGGUUCAUCUUCAAUACAUUUUUGCUUCCGAGUUCGGCGACGGAGGUGUUCGGAGGGGUAGGACCUGAAGUAGAACCAUUCGAGAGUUCUACAAUUGGGAUGGUUUCCCCUUCGACCGUAUCAUCAGUAAUAGGAAGCCGGAUUAGCUUGGCCUUAAUUGGUAGGGGUGUUAAAGACUCGUCGGCCCCCUCGAGUUUGAAGAUUGUCAUUGCACAAAAGAAAACGAGUCAGAAAAAUGGAUAAAGAUAAAAGAGUUGUGGAGAAGCUUGGAACAUGAUACUUACACCCGUGUUUGUACAACUAGGUAUCGGUGGACAAAACCCCCAGAUUCUAUUCGGUCUUACUCCACUUCUUGUAGAACUCUUUGAAAGCACCAGCCCGAUCCUUCAGAAAUUUUGACACCUUAGCGAUAGGAUCUUCGGGAUGGGCCCAGUUCGGGAGAAGUUUGAGGUCGGUCCCUUUCACAAAGAUCCAUUAGGGGUGCCACCCUUUGUUGCUCGAAGGGGUCCUGAUGAGGAUGGUUCAGUUGGCUUGUUUGUUUAAUUGACGAAGGUCGGGUUCCUUUAACCGAGCAACGGUGAAUAAGGCAAAAAAGAAAUCAAGGUCAAGAGUAAUCCCGAUCUCCUGGCACAGGGCGAUGAAAGAAAUCAGGUGGAUGUACGAGUUCGGCACAAAUUGUGCGAACCCGAUCCCGACAAAGCAGAGAAAAGAUGAGAUAAAUUUGUGGAGUGGAAACCGAACCCCAUACUUUAAAAGGUAUAGGGGUACGACAACCCACUCACCCUCGGGUCUCCAGAAUAUUCUCUCCUCAAAGUUGGGUACCCGAAGCUUAUACUACUUCGGUAUGUUAAACAGUUCACGGAUGUCUGAGAUCUAGGAGGGGUGGACAGUCGAUGGGGUGUUGAUAUAUGAGAAGUCAGCCUCAGAAGCAUAAACACUUCAAAUUUUGGCCUCGAUGUUGUCUGUGGAGAUAACGGUAGGGGCUACCAGAAGAUCAACCAGAACUAGGUCGCUGGUAGUGACUGUGGGUGGAAUUGAUUCAAUGAAAGGAGGAAUGUUGGAAUCAACCAGUUAAAGUGAAUGAGGGGUGAAUGGGGGGACCCCCCCAGCAAAAGGAAGCAGAAAUAGGGGGAUUGGAAGAGAAUUUAGGUACCAAAAAAAGCUUGAAUCAAAGAAUUUCUUACAAGCUGGUCGCUCGCCGGAAAUUGCCUUCGUCGGGAAACUUAAAAGAGAAAUUUGAAAUGAGGAAGGUCUAAAAAGGGUGACAGUGAUGGCUGGGUUGGUGGUUUUAUAAGUGAAGCUACACGAGACCCAAUGGCAGCUAUUUAUGGCAGGUGGGGUCUGGUCCUGGGGAAGCGUUUGGCGUUUCAAAAAAUAAAGAGAAACCGUUUGGGUUCCCCAGGAAACUCAUCAUUUGCUGUCGUGACCAUUUGAAUUCAUGUCUUUUUAAGUCUCUAAUUAUAAAUAAAUUAUAACAAGAGACUGGGGGGCAAUGUUUUGGAGCAUUUUACCGAUCUCCAGGUGGGGUCGAAGGCCUGACACUAGAAGGGGUUUAUGAGCCCAAUGGGCCGAAGCCCUCAAAGAUGCUGAAGGUGUUCGGGUUCGGUAUCCGAGUCCUUUGGGCCGGGGCCCAACUGUGGAGUAUGGUGUUCGGGGUUGGGUCUUCGAGUCCUUUGGGACGAAGCUCAGACCAGAUGUUGGGUUGGGCCUGUAUAGUGGGCUAUCUUGCAUACGGAGUCCUAACCAUAUUUGAAUACGGUAACUCUAAAGGUAGUGUUUGGAUUGUAUUCCACUUUCUCCUUUUAAGGAGAUUGUGUUGGACCCAAAUUAAGGUAACUACCAUGUUUAGGAGUCCUAAUCCGACGCGGAAAGGGAUUCUAAGGUACGAGAACACUAUAAAUACAAGGCUUGAGUUUCAAUCAAGAGGUAAUACUUUCUUUGAGCACUAAAUACUAAAGCCUCCAUUGUUAAAUCUUGUGAACGGCCUGUACUUAUUCUCACACCGGAGCUAUCCGCUGGCGGCACAAGCCGUCAAGCUUCGUGUGUGAUAUGUUGUUGUGUAGGUUCAAGCGCAUGGAUUCUAUGAUUGGACGUGCUGGUGAAACUUGGCGUUAACAACCCAUAAUAUAUAUGCUGCUAUUUUGCGCAAACAAAAUUUCCUAUUUUGGAUUUCCUGUGUUGGUUAACACUUAUCUAGUCGGAACAAUUUAUUUCAGUUCCUCUUUGUCGUCCCCAGGAUGCAAUAUAAAUCUGAAUGACAUUUGCGUUCAUCAUCUGUCUUUGGCACAUAGAAUAUCUUUUUCCCAAUUUAGGGAUGUUCAUAUCCAAUCUGGAGUCCAUACUCAAUUAAUUUAGUUGGACAGUUCAAAAGCUUAAUAUAAGCAAUAUCUGAAUCUGUGUCUAGCUGACUCAAAUGGCAUUUGACACCUCUUUAAUUACUAAAAUACUGAAAAUUAUUUUAUGACGCAUAGUACCGUAUUAUUUAUAACAGUACGUUGAGAAUGUCAUCAUUUUAGAAAACCGAAGAUUCAUACUUUUAUUCCAACAAUUUAUUAAAGUUCUAUGAUUAAUCAACCCAUUCAAACCGAGAAUUACUUCAAAUUCUCUUAACAUUAUCGGUGCUUAUCUAUCAACACUUGCUUACCAUUAUUAUCCAUGAAACCAUUUCCACGAAUAUAAUCAACAAAAGUUAUUCCCUCCUCCUCUAUCGUAAUGUUUAAAGGUACUUAUAAUCCCUUUCAGACAGACUCCUAGAUGAGUCUUUUCACAUGUCUUACAUACUUCGAUCUUAUGCUUAGGAUCCCCUUGUCCCACUCUAGUAUUCCCGAAGUUAAAAUUCUUUCUUUUUGGCACACUGCCACUGGCAUUCUCUGCCUUGGUUCCUCCCUUUCCCUUGCUCUUAUUCUUUCUCUCUUUGUGGUAUUGGGUUAAUGCCUCACUACCACCCUUCACUAUAAUCGGUUUCUCCAGAAUGAUCCCACAGGAAACACUCUGGAACACCGAAAUCCUAUUAUAGAGCCAGGGUUUCAGGCCCUGCUCAAUCCUACUAGCCUUCCUCUCCUCAGUGUCCACUUGAUGUGGAGAAAACUUUGCCAAUUCAUUGAAUCUGGCCGCGUAUUGGGGAAUCGUCGUGUCCCCUAGUUUAAGUUCUAAGAACGUAAUCUCCAUCCCCCCUUACAUGCUUGUAGGGAAAUAAUUCUCGAAGAAAACCUUCUUAAACUGUUCCCACGUUACCCCAUCUGUUCUAGCCCCACCCUGGUGAGCCUCCCACCAAAAGUUGGCUUCCACUUUCAUCAUUUUAUGUUUAUAACAUAAUAUUGUGACUGUAGGACGAUUUCAAUAAAUUUUGAAAUAUAGCAUAGCUAGAAGAUUUGAGAAUAUCCAUUUUCUUCUUCACCCAUUUCAACUGUUUCCAAAACUUCACUAUACAAUUAUGUUCAUCUCUAACACAACAAUCAGUUCUAAACACAUACCCUGGGACAGUUCAUUAAACUUACCACACAUUAUGUGUUUAGGAACUUGCCAUAAAAAUAUGAGUUUAGGAACUUGUCCUAGCAAUACAUAGUCCAAAAACUAAUCAGGGACUAUCCAUACGCUUAGGGGCUCAAAAACAUACCAGAUGAUUAUGAGUCACAAACUUAUCAUAAGCAUAAAUUUUAAGAACUCGCACCUAGUCCUAUAUUUUCUAUUAUUAGGUAUAAAUAUGAGAAAAGAAUCACCUUCUCACCAUACGUAUACCGAUAGAGCAACACCAACAUUUCAACGAUUAUCAAUGAGAUAAACUAAGUAGUCGUUAAAUCAAGCACAAAACCUCAGCCCAUACAAAGGUUUGUAUAACUCAGCUAUCACAUGACUCCUCAAUUGAAAUCCCACUUAAACCCAUUAAAUCUUAUCUUGUUCUUUCCUCAAUACAAAUUAUAUUUAUUUUGUAUUUCAUCAUUCAUAACGCUUUCUGAGUUUUAUUCUUGUACUAUUUCAUUGUACCAUUUCUAUAUAGCCAUUCUGCUAUAAAUUUUUAAUCAUUCGAUUGAUUACGUGUCCUUCUUUGUCUUGAUAAGAUCACGUCGUGAUCUUAUCUUAUAAUCGUGUUAUAUUAAGAUUCUUUCUCAUUCUAUGAUGGUUUCAUUUUUACGAUCUUCUUAUCUUCUUUCCAAUCAUAUUGUUUUAUGAUUAUUUGAAUCAUGUGUCCAUUGAUCCUUACACUUCUUGCCUUUUAAGAUUCUUUUUUAAAUCUUUGUGUAUUAUAUUAAUGCAUUCUCUAUGAAUUUUUAAAUUCAUUUUAAGAUCAUAUAAACAUCAUUUGAGUUUGUGCUUAAUAUCUUCUUUCUUUUCAUCUACCUUCUUUACGGUUAUAGCCUAGGGUACGUUUACCUAAGGUUUAUAACCUAUGACUUUGAUACCAAAUGUAACUCCCCCCAAAAUCGAGACCAAAUUAAUCUAAAAUCAGGACUAACUUAAUCUCGACUUUGUGUGUUAGCAACACUCUUGUUUUAGCUUUAAAACAUUAUUUAAUGUUAAAAUUGCAUUUUUUCCACUCUAUUAAUUCAUUCCCUAAAUCGCAACCUUUACCAUUUUUCGUUAAACUAAAAUCAUAUCCAUUUUAUAAUUUAAUUAAUCUGAGUAAAUGUAUUAAGAGCUUUCAAGUCUCAAGUCUCAAUACUUAAUAUCUUUCUUAUAUAGUAAUGUCAUUAUAUUACUUUAUUUUUAUAAAGUAUUCAUUACACACAUCCAGAAUAAGUAUUCUUUAUUGAAUAUUUUAAAUUAUACAUAACUGUCAGUUACCUAUAACAAAACCAUUAAUCAUAGCUUUAUACAAUUUCUAAUUCAAGAAAAUGUAUUCAUUUCGUACAUCAUUCAUCCUUCAUCAUCCGCAUAGAAAAUAAUAUUGCAUAACGUCAUUAACGUGAAAAAGUUUGUGUUUGCAAGAUUGAGCUCGACAGCCCAACAAAUUUAACAGUCUAUCACGCUUCACAUACCACACAAUUUUAUAUCCAUCACAUGCAACAUACUUUCUUUGCUAUGCAUAUCCUACAUGCAUCAAUAAUUCCGUGCAAUGCAUAUAUUCAUGCAUUAUACAUUCCUAAUUAUCGAGUUAAAUCAUACAACAUGUGUUAGCACAUAUCACAUAUAAAUUGAGUUCCAUACCCAAUUAACUUAGUCAUAUUUCGACUUUAACAAUUCAAAGAGCAUGAUAUGUAAUUUAGAACAUAACAACAUUAAAUCCACAAACAUAACAGAAUUGAAAAACUUGCCUUUGUUGGAGAUUACAGCUAAAAUUUAACUUAGAGUUUCUCCACAAUUGCUACAGAAUUAUAUUUACAUGCAAAGAGAUAUUAGAUAAUUAAAUAUGUUACAAAACAUGCAUGUAUAUUCAUCAUUAAUAAUUAUUAGUUUAUAAAAACCAAUAUUAUUUACUCUUACUCCAAAACCAAUAUUGGUUUAAUCAGAAACUCCAUUCAUUUUAAUCUUUCAAUGCCAAAUAAGGCCUUUCACACUUUUAAUGUGUAAAAAUUUCACAUCUAAAGCUUAAAUCAUUUAUAUUCCACUUUAGGAAUAUUUUAUGUUCUUACUUGCUAAUUCGGGACUUAAACAACUAAUAUAUAGCUUUUAUAGUAAAACUCAAUUUACUAUAUUAUUAUUUCUUUAAUAUAAAUAUUUCUUAUAUUAUUUUUUCUGCUCAUGAGUCAACUCGGCUUAUUGUCUCAUUUAUAAAUAUUUUAUCCCGCUAACACACUUACUGCAUUUUUCGUUUUGCAAAUAUUCACAUUUUCACUAUAUAUUUAUAUAUUAAAUAUGUAUAAAUCUUGUCUCAAAAACUCCAUUUUGAUCCCCACAAAUCUUCAUUACAUCACUUUUAUGAUUAUUACAACUUUUUAAUGUUUCCAUAUUUUUCGUUUUGUUAUAAAACCAUUUUUCAUGUCAAUUCCGGCUUACAUUCUCUUAAAUAUGCAAAUUCACAUUUAUAUAAUAUUUUUAUUGCAUUAUUUAUGCCCGAAAGAAAUUUUCAUGACAUAAAAUAUCACAUAUAGUCAAAUCUCUUCUCUUGGAACUUUAUUAGAUCUAAUAUUGUCUAAAAUUUAGCCCAAACACACUUUAAAACAACGUAUGUCAAAAAAACCCAUCAUGAUUACAUUCGGCGUUGCCUAAAUUAUAGUUCUGACAUGUAUGUUCGCUUAUUUUUAAUUCUCAACCCAUAAAAGUCAUAUAACAACGAAUUUUUGUUAAGUUAUAGACCUCAUGGAAUAGUAUUUUUUUUUUAAAUCUAACCACGCAAACAAAUCAAGAAAACUACUCAAAACAGACCAUACAAAUCAUGCCGCGUAACAGCACUGCAGCGCCAGCAGCAGCAGGCAUUGGCGAACGCUGAGCGCUGCCAAACGUUGCUGCCCAACUGCUUAUCAUACUCUGCUGCAGCCCUUAACGACCUAGCCACUAUGUAAUUUUUUUACGCUUUGCUCACUUAUCGAUCUUUCUCAAAUUUUAAUAUGUUUUUCUUAUCAUAUGAGACUAUUUUUGAAAAAUAUUAAACACCCAUUCUGGGUUCGAUAGGCGGCCCAAACAUUGUGCCAAAAGUGGACGUUUAUAACAAUUUUAAAUUUUGUUUCAGCUUUACCCUCUCUCGCUAAAAUAGUCAUAACUUCUUCGUUUCAAAAUAUUUUGGAGCGAUUCUUGAGCCCACGUGAAUCUAACUUCCGGGACUACAACUUUUAUUCUUUGACCAUUUUCAAACUAUUAGCACCAAAUUCCAGAAAAUCUGUGCAAGGGGACUGCUUUGAAUUUGUUGGACAGAUUUGGCGCAACUACUUUGAAAUGUCAUAACUCCUUGCUCUAAAGUCGGAAUUAGUUUGUUCUAAAGUCUAUGUAAAGCUUAUUCAGUGUACUAUAAUAUCCCAAAAGCCCAGAAGUUUCUGGAAAUAUAUACUAGACCCAAAAUUGGCCUCAAAGUCAGCGGUCAUACUAGUUUUUCACUUUUUGUUUUGAUUUCCAAUUGCUUUUCUCUUUAACUUAGUAUGGUCAAUUAUUUUUAAUUAUCUUCAUAUAUGAUAUACAUAUCUAACCCAAGCUUUGAUUUUUCUUAAAACAUGGUUUUUAACCAAAACAGUUCAUAGUGGACAUAUAUCGAACAUUUUAUAUGCCCUGUUUUGGAACACCAUUUCCAUAGCCAUUUGUUUGUGUUAUUAACCCAUUAAAGCCUCCUUAUAUCACCGCACAACCAAGCCUAUGCCCUUGUUCCUAAUUCAGGCCUAAAAAUCUUCUACACAAUAGAAUUGAUAUAUAGUCAGAUAGUUUGGUUACCAAACUAGUUAGUUUACACAUUCUUUUGAAAUUCAAUCUUUUUAAUUUCAACACAAAAUUAAAUAUUUCAAUCUCCUCUGUAUUAAAUCAACAUAACUAUAAUCAAUUAAUAGUAUUUCAAAUACCAUACAUAACUUAACCAAUUCCUACUGCUAACAGAUUUAUUUAACACCAUGGAUGCAUAGUUUCAAAUUCCAGACUUCAUAAGCUUUUAGGCAUAGUCUAGCCAAAGAUUUUCCAUGAAAAUCCUCCCUUAUUACUUUAGAACUUAUACAAUAUUAUUACCCAACCAAUUCCACAAUCAAACAUCACAAUUAUAGCAAUAAAUAGUAUUAUAUACUUUCAAUUUCUAUGAACUCCAUAAAACACAUGGCUUACCCCUCAAUUUGAAGUUUAAUUGAUAUGAUCCUUUGAAUUCUUGCUCCAAAUUCGUUCUUAAUUCCUUCUUGUAACAAUCCAUUGCUUCAGUUCCUUCUCAAUUUCAGUUACUAGCUUCAAUUUCUUAAGAAUUUGGUGAUAAUUUGAGGGUAUAGGAAUAUGGUGACUCCAACCUUUAGAGAGAAGAAACGAAUGGAGUUGGGGAGGCAUAUAAUAAAUACAUUAAAC
rnacentral:lncRNA from 1 species